rnacentral:rRNA from 1 species
GAUGAACGCUAGCGGCAGGCCUAAUACAUGCAAGUCGAACGGUAACAUGAGUAGCAAUACUUGAUGACGAGUGGCGCACGGGUGCGUAACGCGUAUGCAAUCUACCUUUAACUGGUGAAUAGCCCGAAGAAAUUCGGAUUAAUACACCAUAGUAUAUUAGAGUAGCAUUACUUUAAUAUUAAAACUACGGUGGUUAAAGAUGAGCAUGCGUGACAUUAGCUAGUUGGUGAGGUAACGGCUCACCAAGGCUACGAUGUCUAGGGGAUCUGAGAGGAUUAACCCCCCACACUGGUACUGAGACAGGGACCAGACUCCUACGGGAGGCAGCAGUAAGGAAUAUUGGACAAUGGUCGCAAGACUGAUCCAGCCAUGCCGCGUGAAGGAUGACGGCCCUAUGGGUUGUAAACUUCUUUGUACGGAAAAACCCUCUACGUGUAGAGGGCUGAUUGUACUGUAAGAAUAAGGAUCGGCUAACUCCGUGCCAGCAGCCGCGGUAU